GAGAACAAAACGUAAACAUUCAGGUCAUCAUGAACCAAUACCGGGAAGCCUUUGUUUUUUUGCUGCUAGCGAAGGUUCUCGCGUUCUCGAAAAUGCGUGAAAAUAUUCUCUGACAAAACCGUGAAACACCGUCCCUUCCUUACCAUUAGUGUUUGUUCCGUGCGAAACCAUUUGUGUUUGUUUGCUGCCGGUGUAGCGUGCAGUUCGAACGAAGGGUAGAAAUACGACCGAAACGACAGAACGCUUCACUUCCGUAUCAUUCUGUGUCUGGACUAGUGCCUAACAGAUUGUGGCCUGAAUUGGACCGUUUUAAAUUUUGUUGUGUUUUGUUUUCAGAUAUCGCUGCACUGAAGAUAAUUACUGGAUAAAUUACGUCGAUUGAUGCCGACGAUUACGAGGCAAGAAUACCACCAACCAGAAUUUUUACCCGAAAGAUUCAGCGUGGUGCAUUUACGGAAGGUUUGACUAAGCGGCACUUUCAGCUAUGGAAAGCGUACGGUGCACACGAAAAGCGGGAAGGUGUCUCAGAUUGAAGUAACCUUCAUAAGAAACAAGACAAUAUUAUCAUUGCUAAUUACUCUGAUUGAUUCUGCAGAGUACAAAUGCUGAUUAGUUGUUAUCAGCAUGCAAGGAUGUACUAGUCUCAUUAUCGUUUUUCCUUUCCAACAACCAGCACUCCCGGAUGGAUUGUCGAGGAAACCAUUACUUCGAUGGGCAGUAUUUGAAAUCGUAGGAGUGUCUUGAAAAGAUUUAGCCCCUAGCUAUCAGUGCCAUAACGGUACUGACACUUAUUUUCACCUAUUACACAUUACGGGAAAUUUUAUGUAAGCUGGUUGAAGAGUACAUUACUGUUGCUGCGGGGACACAUUAGAAACGAGAUCCUGCGUUGGUUAACCGAUCACGCGAAGGAUGAUCGAUUCCAAAUCUCUCGAGUUUCGUUGUGAGUUUCUGUAGAACAAACAACGUGUUGGUUUGUGAUUCUUAGAAUAUAGUGCUGAUAAAUCGGAUAUUUGUUGGAACAAUUAUGUUUGCUAUUGCAGGGUGAUUUGAACAUUGUCUUGGCAUGUAAUUAUCGUGGACAACACGUAGCUUUGAAGGACAAUACAAACUAUAGUUAUAGAAAGUUAAAGAACCUCCAUCGGCAGCCCAUGAUUUCUAUUAUAAACUGCUUCGAUCACCUAUCCUGCCUUUGUGCAUACUGGCUCUAUGUGACGCGCACGACCUUGCUAACGAUGGAAGGAAAUGGCCGAGAACUGCCUAGAAUGAAUGGAAAUGUUUGAUUAACUAUAACAAACUAAACUAAAUUUUCAAACUUUUCUGGUUUUGUUUCGGUUUCCAGAAGCUACGUCCUCCGAAUAUGAUCUGUUCUGUAAUAACGAUAAGAAUGGUGUAUACAAUAUGUUAAUGGUGAAGGAAAUAUUGCCAGCAAAUAACUUUAACGUUGUUGUCCAGACUUUUUCUAUGCUUUCUUGGAGUUACAUAGCAUAGUCAACAACUUGUCUUAUAUACAAAGACCAUUUCCAUACAAAUUUAAAUUUGUAAGCCUCUACUAAGCCAGGCGGCCGUAGUAUGGCUCUCUGGGAAGGAAGACUACCAAACCGAGAAGGAAGGAAGGAAGACCACCAAACCGAGAAGAAUGGAAGGAAAAUCCCGAAUAGGAUGGAAGGAAGAAGAGAGAAGGAAAGAAAUAUAAAAAAAGGAUUUCCCUCCCCGAACAUUCCUGAACACUAUUCAAAGAAUGGUUGAACCUAACUUAGAAGGUAUGGUUUGAUGACGAUGCAUCUCCCUUCGACGUAGAAUACAAUAUCGCUUCUUCCUCAAGUUCGAGUGAUGAAACCACAUAAAUUCGAUAAGUUUUACUAUGUAAAAAAAAUUCAAAGAAAAUUAAACAAUCAAAGCAAGUCAAAGAGUGUUAAAGAAAGAUAUUGUGUGAGUGUUAAAGUGAAUUUUUAAACGAAUAAUUCAAAUGGUUUGCUUAUUUCAUUUCGACAGUUUUCAGGACCGUGAAUGAAACAUUUCACAAUUAUGGUUUGUUUGUUAUCCACUCCUAGCGCAACUACGGUUUUGCGAAAAAAAGCUGUGAUUUUUGUAUGAAAAUAUGUCAAAAACAGACAGCAUUUUGCAAGAAUCAAGUCAACAAUCACAACGAUCAUUCCAUCUUGGAAAGGCAGAAAAUUAGAGAGACUUCAAUAUGAUGCCCCUCCCACAUAACCAAAAAGCGAUAUCCGACCUUACUACGACCUAUAUACGGAGUCGUAUAUGUAGACUUAUAUGUACACUUACAGCAGUAAUUAACAGACUU